CACGGAGUUAGCCGAUGCUUUUUCUUCGGAUACACGCAGUCCGGGACACGUCCCGGGUUUUGUUCUCCGACAAAAGAGGUUUACAACCCAUAGGGCCGUCUUCCCUCACGCGGCUUGGCUGGUUCAGGAUCUCUCCCAUUGACCCAAUAUUCCUCACUGCUGCCUCCCGUAGGAGUCUGGUCCGUGUCUCAGUACCAGUGUGGGGGACCUUCCUCUCAGAACCCCUACGCAUCGUCGCCACGGUGGGCCGUUACCCCGCCGUCAAGCUAAUGCGCCGCAUGCCCAUCCUCUUCCGAUGAAUCUUUCCUCGAUCUCGGAUGCCCGAAACCGAUAUACGCGGGAUUAGCCUCCCUUUCGGAAGGUUGUCCCCCUGAAGAGGGCAGGUUGCAUACGUGUUACUCACCCGUGCGCCGGUCGCCGGCAAGGAAAGCAAGCUUCCCUCCCGAUGCCCCUCGACUUGCAUGUGUUAAGCCUGCCGCUAGCGUUCAUCCUGAGCCAGGAUCAAACUC
rnacentral:rRNA from 1 species